CGGGGCUUAAAGUCUUGUAAUUGGAAUGAUGGGAAUUUAAACCUCUUCCAGAGUAUCAAUUGGAGGGCAAGUCUGGUGCCAGCAGCCGCGGUAAUUCCAGCUCCAAUAGCGUAUAUUAAAAUUGUUGCAGUUAAAAAGCUCGUAGUUGAAUUUCUGCUGCAUUGCUUGUGUCCCUCUGGGGUCUGUGCAUGUGGCUUUUUUCGGACGGAGUUUCUUUGUCUGAAUGUUUACUUUGAGAAAAUUAGAGUGCUCUAAGCAGGCUUUCGCCUUGAAUAGUUUAGCAUGGAAUAAUAAAGUAGGACUUUGGUUCUAUUUUGUUGGUUUUAGGUACCAAAGUAAUGGUUAAUAGGAACAGUUGGGGGCAUUCGUAUUUAACUGUCAGAGGUGAAAUUCUUAGAUUUGUUAAAGACGAACUACUGCGAAAGCAUUUGCCAAGGAUGUUUUCAUUAAUCAAGAAC
rnacentral:rRNA from 1 species